rnacentral:tRNA from 1 species
GCCGAAGUGGCGGAAUAGGCAGACGCGAACGACUCAAACUCGUUUGGGAAACCGUGUGGGUUCGACUCCCACCUUCGGCA